rfam:Daphnia magna strain Xinb3 contig47098, whole genome shotgun sequence.
GGAUGUGUGGCUUAAUGGAUAAGGGGCCUGCCAACGGAGCAGGAGAUUCUAGGUUCCAUCCCUGGCACGUUCA